rnacentral:rRNA from 1 species
AACGAACGCUGGCGGCAGGCCUAACACAUGCAAGUCGAGCGCGCCCUUCGGGGUGAGCGGCGGACGGGUGAGUAACGCGUGGGAACGUGCCCUUUUCUACGGAAUAGCCUCGGGAAACUGAGAGUAAUACCGUAUACGCCUUUGGGGGAAAGAUUUAUCGGAAAAGGAUCGGCCCGCGUUGGAUUAGGUAGUUGGUGGGGUAAUGGCCUACCAAGCCGACGAUCCAUAGCUGGUUUGAGAGGAUGAUCAGCCACACUGGGACUGAGACACGGCCCAGACUCCUACGGGAGGCAGCAGUGGGGAAUCUUAGACAAUGGGGGCAACCCUGAUCUAGCCAUGCCGCGUGAGUGAUGAAGGCCUUAGGGUUGUAAAGCUCUUUCAGCUGGGAAGAUAAUGACGGUACCAGCAGAAGAAGCCCCGGCUAACUCCGUG